ACAGAUCGUUCAGAGUUUGAUCCUGGCUCAGGAUGAACGCUAGCGGCAGGCUUAAUACAUGCAAGUCGAGGGGCAGCAGCUUUAUAGCAAUAUAGAGGCUGGCGACCGGCAAACGGGUGCGGAACACGUACACAACCUUCCUUGAAUAGGGGGAUAGCCCAUAGAAAUGUGGAUUAAUACCCCGUAAUAUAGCGGUGUGGCAUCACACUGUUAUUAUAGUUUCGACGAUUCGAGAUGGGUGUGCGACUGAUUAGGUAGUUGGCGGGGUAAAGGCCCACCAAGCCUUCGAUCAGUAGCUGAUGUGAGAGCAUGAUCAGCCACACGGGCACUGAGACACGGGCCCG
rnacentral:rRNA from 1 species